AUUGAACGCUGGCGGCAGGCUUAACACAUGCAAGUCGAACGAGUGGCGGACGGGUGAGUAAUGCUUGGGAAACUACCUGAUGGAGGGGGAUAACUACGGGAAACUGUAGCUAAUACCGCAUACCAUAGGAUGAGCCCAGGUGGGAUUAGGUGGUUGGUGAGGUAAAGGCUCACCAAGGCGACGAUCCCUAGCUGGUCUGAGAGGAUGACCAGCCACACUGGGACUGAGACACGGCCCAGACUCCUACGGGAGGCAGCAGUGGGGAAUAUUGCGCAAUGGGGGCAAGCCUGAUGCAGCCAUGCCGCGUGUAUGAAGAAGGCCUUCGGGUUGUAAAGUACUUUCGGUAGCGAGGCGUUACCUACAGAAGAAGCACCGGCUAACUCCGUGCCAGCAGCCGCGGUAAUAC
rnacentral:rRNA from 1 species